AUUAAAGAUUGAUUUUAAAUAAUUUAGGGAUAAUGUUCAAGUACCCCGUCAACCUAUGUCUGAAAUCUCAGAGACACACUUAUACUAUACUGAGGUCUUAUUAUCCUCCCCCGAACUUAUUUUAUAAGUAAUUUUCUACCCUUUUCAGCCGACGUGGCACUAGUUUGAAAAAAAAAGUCAACCAGCGUUGGGCCCAAAAUAUAGUGUCAUGUAGGCCAAUAAAGGGUAGAAAUUUAUUAAUAAAAUAAGUUUAGGGGGGUAAUAGGACCUUAGUAUAGUAUAAGUUUAUCUCUGAGAUUUCGGGCAUAGGUUGAGGUGGUACUUGUGCAUUUUCCCAAUAAUUUAAAACAUUUUUCAAAAAAGAAAAAUAACGGAUCAGUUUUUAAAUGGAAAAUAUCAUGUUUCAUUAUUUAAAAUAAUUAAAUUUAAUAAAUAUAAUUACUGAUUAGCGUCUAUUAAGGAACUUUUUUAAAAAUCAGAUUAAUUGGUUACCUUAAAAAGCUCAAUUUAGUUGAAAUCAAAUUAAAUUGUGAUUUAAUUCCUUAAAACGAUCUAAUAAAACGAAAUCACAUUAAAAUCUGUUAUUUUUUUCCAGAUAUCAUGUUUCUCUCUUGUUUGCAGAUUGCAUUUUCAUUUUUUUUAGUGAUUGAAGAUAUUUUGCUGUUGAAAAAAACGUGAUUUAUUGUGAUGGACAACAUUGUAUCUAUAUAAAUUAAACAUGGUGAAAAGUGGAAUCCGUCAGUUAUUACCUGAAUUGUCUUUCUGAUACUUGCUCUUGGAUGAUGAGAGCAUCAUGUUUGAAUAGAUCAAAUUUAUUCAAAGUCAGAAAGUACAAUGCUGAACACACUUGUUCAGUUAAAGAUAGAGUUUAUGCAAGACGUCAAGAAAUAACUGUCAUUGUAGCUGUCUUAAUAAUGGAUAAGUAUAUUGAUUCAUGUACCGUAUACACUCCAAAGAAUAUAGUGGAGGAUAUGUUGAAAUUGCAUGGUGUUUCGCUAACAUACAUACAUGCUUGGAGAGCUAAAGAAAAAGCGAUGAAAUUGAUGCGUGGAGAUCCAACCGAAUCAUAUGCCAAACUACCAGGUUAUGCAUACAUAUUGGAGCAAACAUAUCCUGGAUCGGUUUUGAAAAUAGAAAGGAAGGAAUGUGAUAAAUUCUUAUACACAUUUGUUGCAUUAGAAGCUUGUAUUAGAGGCUGGGAGUAUUGUAGGCCAAUUGUAGUUGUUGAUGGGGCAUGUUUAAAAUAUUCAUAUGGUGGUACAAUGUUGACUGCCAGCACUAUGAAUCCAUGAGGUCAUAUACUUCUGUUGGCGUAUUCAAUAGUGGAUUCUGAAAAUGACGCUUUAUGGACUUGGUUCUUUGAAUAGUUUAAAAAAGCCUAUGGAGUUAAGCAAAACAUGUGUUUUAUGUCAGAUUGAAAUGAGAGCAUAUGAAAAGAGACUGUUACUGUAUAUCCCGAAUUCAAACAUUAUGCCUGCAUAUGGCACCUAACCUGUAAUGUGUUGAAGAAUUUCAAUAGGAAUACUGAAGAUUUGAAGAUUUUAUUUUUUUUACACUUGCAAAGGCUUAUACAAAACAACAAUUUGAGAUGAUUAUGAGAAGAAUAAACCAGAUAGAUCCGCAAAUAAGACAUUACUUAUUUGAUAUCGAUUCUAGCAAAUGGUCAAGAGCUUACUCGAAUUGUAAGCGCGCAUGGACCAUGACUUCAAACAUUGCCGAGUUAUUGAAUAAUUAACAAGAUAGCAAGGAGAUUACUAGUGAUUUCACUUAUUGAAUUUAUGAGGAUAAAAAUUCAAAGAUGGAUUCACAAGCACAAUGAGGAGGCUGAUAAAACAACAUCUGUGCUGACAAAAAAAUAUGAUCUUUAUCUCCAGAAAAGUAUUGUUUUUUCUUGCAAUAUGAAGUGAUACCUUGAACAGUUGAUAUGCAUAUUGUAGCUGAAGGAGCAAAGAAGUACAUAGUAAACUUGAACACAAAGAUGUAUAGUUACGGGAGAUUUCAACAUUAUUAUAUACCAUGUGGUUAUGUAAUUGUAGUUCUUAGAUACAGAAAAUUGCAUGAAGCAUAUUUUUGUUCUGCUUUUUAUAGCCUGAAGAAUUUCAAAGAUGCAUAUGUCAUUGUUGUUGAACCUAUCCCAUGCGAGUGUACAUGAGAUAUACAAAGUUAUAUUUCAGAACCUAAAUUGAUGUCACCUAGUCCAAAUUGAUUAGCGGGAAGACCAAAACUUAAACGCUCGAAGGGGUUUGCUGAUGUAAAAUUCAAAAGGUUAAAAAUUACUUGCAGUAGAUGUCGUCAAGUUGGACACAACAGGAAGACUGUUCAAAUUAUUCUUUGUAAAAAACAAUUUACUAUUUUUACUUAUUGCUACACAUAUUUUUAUGUUGCUUGGAA